ensembl:lncRNA
GUUAGAUUAAGAAACUACAGGAUUUCAGCUCCCAUGGUGGGAGGAUGAAUGGAGUCAAGUGCAGAGAGGGCCAGCAUAAACUUGAAGUCCAUGUCUAGAGAUAUUUUCACAUCCAAAAGUACCAGAGGUGUGCUGGACCCUCACCAGUCAUUUCCUUGGACUCAGGAGUAUAUUGUCACUGAGGGAAGAGGAAACUUACCUAAUUUCCACCACUGGAUGGUGGUCUAAGUGACUGAUGGAUUGGAAGUUAUGUUUUUUGUAGGUAGGCUGCAGUCAACAACUCCAGUGCAGAAUGGACCCUGAAGAGGAAUUCAAGCACCAACAGAGCCUAUGCAACCACAUCUUGUAUAUAAUUCAUCUGCAUGGUCACAAAUAGAAAGUGAAGAUCAACCACAAUGACUUCAAAUUGGACUCUAUUCUGCAGAUGCUUAUCUUCAGAUCUCAGCCUGGACAUGAUUUGCAAUAGUGCAGACAAAGACUAUAUUUAAACAAUUUUAGAGUUAUGGAGGUUUGGCGAGACGUAUGGAGGUUGAAAAAGAAGAACUGAGUUCCCUGACCUGGGUUAUCCUUCUUUCUGAAAGAAAUUUCUAGGAAAAAAUGGGGAAAAGAACCUGGAAAGUCAGAAAGAGAAGCAUGAAUAUGCUGCUUCAAAUGUUCUAACCACAGUGCUGAUGUGUAGAUGAAGAUCUGGGUUUUAAUUUUCUGUCAGCUUC